rfam:Klebsiella pneumoniae ISC21, WGS project CBWQ01000000 data, contig: c18
GGUUAAGCGACUAAGCGUACACGGUGGAUGCCCUGGCAGUCAGAGGCGAUGAAGGACGUGCUAAUCUGCGAAAAGCGUCGGUAAGGUGAUAUGAACCGUUAUAACCGGCGAUGUCCGAAUGGGGAAACCCAGUGCAAUUCGUUGCACUAUCGUUAACUGAAUACAUAGGUUAACGAGGCGAACCGGGGGAACUGAAACAUCUAAGUACCCCGAGGAAAAGAAAUCAACCGAGAUUCCCCCAGUAGCGGCGAGCGAACGGGGAGCAGCCCAGAGUCUGAAUCAGCUUGUGUGUUAGUGGAACGGUCUGGAAAGUCCGACGGUACAGGGUGAUAGUCCCGUACACCAAAAUGCACAGGCUGUGAACUCGAAGAGUAGGGCGGGACACGUGGUAUCCUGUCUGAAUAUGGGGGGACCAUCCUCCAAGGCUAAAUACUCCUGACUGACCGAUAGUGAACCAGUACCGUGAGGGAAAGGCGAAAAAAGAACCCCGGCGAGGGGAGUGAAAAAAGAACCUGAAACCGUGUACGUACAAGCAGUGGGAGCACCUUCGGGUGUGACUGCGUACCUUUUGUAUAAUGGGUCAGCGACUUAUAUUCUGUAGCAAGGUUAACCGUAUAGGGGAGCCGCAGGGAAACCGAGUCUUAACUGGGCGUUAAGUUGCAGGGUAUAGACCCGAAACCCGGUGAUCUAGCCAUGGGCAGGUUGAAGGUUGGGUAACACUAACUGGAGGACCGAACCGACUAAUGUUGAAAAAUUAGCGGAUGACUUGUGGCUGGGGGUGAAAGGCCAAUCAAACCGGGAGAUAGCUGGUUCUCCCCGAAAGCUAUUUAGGUAGCGCCUCGUGAAUUCAUCUUCGGGGGUAGAGCACUGUUUCGGCUAGGGGGUCAUCCCGACUUACCAACCCGAUGCAAACUACGAAUACCGAAGAAUGUUAUCACGGGAGACACACGGCGGGUGCUAACGUCCGUCGUGAAGAGGGAAACAACCCAGACCGCCAGCUAAGGUCCCAAAGUCAUGGUUAAGUGGGAAACGAUGUGGGAAGGCACAGACAGCCAGGAUGUUGGCUUAGAAGCAGCCAUCAUUUAAAGAAAGCGUAAUAGCUCACUGGUCGAGUCGGCCUGCGCGGAAGAUGUAACGGGGCUAAACCAUGCACCGAAGCUGCGGCAGCGACACUAUGUGUUGUUGGGUAGGGGAGCGUUCUGUAAGCCUGCGAAGGUGUGCUGUGAGGCAUGCUGGAGGUAUCAGAAGUGCGAAUGCUGACAUAAGUAACGAUAAAGCGGGUGAAAAGCCCGCUCGCCGGAAGACCAAGGGUUCCUGUCCAACGUUAAUCGGGGCAGGGUGAGUCGACCCCUAAGGCGAGGCCGAAAGGCGUAGUCGAUGGGAAACAGGUUAAUAUUCCUGUACUUGGUGUUACUGCGAAGGGGGGACGGAGAAGGCUAUGUUAGCCGGGCGACGGUUGUCCCGGUUUAAGCAUGUAGGCUGGUUAUCCAGGCAAAUCCGGAUAAUCAAGGCUGAGGUGUGAUGACGAGGCACUACGGUGCUGAAGUAACAAAUGCCCUGCUUCCAGGAAAAGCCUCUAAGCAUCAGGUAACAUCAAAUCGUACCCCAAACCGACACAGGUGGUCAGGUAGAGAAUACCAAGGCGCUUGAGAGAACUCGGGUGAAGGAACUAGGCAAAAUGGUGCCGUAACUUCGGGAGAAGGCACGCUGGUGUGUAGGUGAAGUCCCUGCGGAUGGAGCUGAGACCAGUCGAAGAUACCAGCUGGCUGCAACUGUUUAUUAAAAACACAGCACUGUGCAAACACGAAAGUGGACGUAUACGGUGUGACGCCUGCCCGGUGCCGGAAGGUUAAUUGAUGGGGUUAUCCGUAAGGAGAAGCUCUUGAUCGAAGCCCCGGUAAACGGCGGCCGUAACUAUAACGGUCCUAAGGUAGCGAAAUUCCUUGUCGGGUAAGUUCCGACCUGCACGAAUGGCGUAAUGAUGGCCAGGCUGUCUCCACCCGAGACUCAGUGAAAUUGAACUCGCUGUGAAGAUGCAGUGUACCCGCGGCAAGACGGAAAGACCCCGUGAACCUUUACUAUAGCUUGACACUGAACAUUGAGCCUUGAUGUGUAGGAUAGGUGGGAGGCUUUGAAGCGUGGACGCCAGUCUGCGUGGAGCCAACCUUGAAAUACCACCCUUUAAUGUUUGAUGUUCUAACGUUGGCCCCUGACCGGGGUUGCGGACAGUGUCUGGUGGGUAGUUUGACUGGGGCGGUCUCCUCCCAAAGCGUAACGGAGGAGCACGAAGGUUAGCUAAUCCUGGUCGGACAUCAGGAGGUUAGUGCAAUGGCAUAAGCUAGCUUGACUGCGAGCGUGACGGCGCGAGCAGGUGCGAAAGCAGGUCAUAGUGAUCCGGUGGUUCUGAAUGGAAGGGCCAUCGCUCAACGGAUAAAAGGUACUCCGGGGAUAACAGGCUGAUACCGCCCAAGAGUUCAUAUCGACGGCGGUGUUUGGCACCUCGAUGUCGGCUCAUCACAUCCUGGGGCUGAAGUAGGUCCCAAGGGUAUGGCUGUUCGCCAUUUAAAGUGGUACGCGAGCUGGGUUUAGAACGUCGUGAGACAGUUCGGUCCCUAUCUGCCGUGGGCGCUGGAGAAUUGAGGGGGGCUGCUCCUAGUACGAGAGGACCGGAGUGGACGCAUCACUGGUGUUCGGGUUGUCAUGCCAAUGGCACUGCCCGGUAGCUAAAUGCGGAAGAGAUAAGUGCUGAAAGCAUCUAAGCACGAAACUUGCCCCGAGAUGAGUUCUCCCUGAGACUUUAAGUCUCCUGAAGGAACGUUAAAGACGAUGACGUUGAUAGGCCGGGUGUGUAAGCGCAGCGAUGCGUUGAGCUAACCGGUACUAAUGAACCGUGAGGCUUAACCUU